UAAAGAUAUGGAAAGAACGGAUCAACC
rnacentral:sRNA from 1 species